CGGGACGGGUGAGUAACACGUGGAUAACCUACCUAUAAGACUGGGAUAACUUCGGGAAACCGGAGCUAAUACCGGAUAAUAUUUUGAACCGCAUGGUUCAAAAGUGAAAGACGGUCUUGCUGUCACUUAUAGAUGGAUCCGCGCUGCAUUAGCUAGUUGGUAAGGUAACGGCCUACCAAGGCAACGAUGCAUAGCCGACCUGAGAGGGUGAUCGGCCACACUGGAACUGAGACACGGUCCAG
rnacentral:rRNA from 1 species